GUUCCCAUUCAAUAUCCACAGUCAAAUCAAACUUCUGUCAAAUUAAUUUCUGGGUAGAAUUUAAGGAAAACUAAUGAAAAGUGCUUGAAAACUUUGAGUUUUAAUGAUAAGGACAAAAUAAAGGGUAAAGUGAAUAGUACCAGGAUUGACUUUUUAGUGUAAAAAUGUGGUUUUUCGUUAAAGUGAACAGUACCGGGUGCUUUUCGUUAAAGUUCCCUAUAAUCUAUUGUUAAUUUUCUUAGGAAUAAUGUCACUAAUUACGGAUAUAAUCUGAGCUUUGGUUGAAAAUCCCAAUAGAACAUAUCUUCUGUAAAAGUUUUAACAAAUCCUGAAAAUAAUGAAAGAAAUUUGGGGAGGAUUUGAUGGUUAUAUAUGAAAGGGAAAGUGAACCCACAAAGAGGGGAAAGGAAACCCAAGAGUAAAAUUAAUAAUAAGUGGGUGGGUUCAUCGGAAAGAGAGGGAAGAGUAAAAGAGGCUUUGCCGGCGGUGAAGAGAAGCGUCGUCGGCGACUAUGGGAUGGUGUGGUUUUGUGAGUGACCAUCGAGAAUGCGUUGUUUUUUUUAAUAAUAAAUUUUUACUUUUCUUUUUAAUUCAUUCUUGAAAGAUUAACGCUGUUAAAUUUGAGGUUAAAGUUCAGGACAGAUGUCAAAAUGGUAGAAAGGAAACACAUAAGAGACACCAAUUUAGAAACACCAGACCCGUGGCUAGAAAGGAGUUCUAUUUUAUUUUUCAAGAGACUGCUAUAUGUGCUCAUUGUAAAUGCCUUUCUAAGAGCAAACACCUCAAUUAAUUUGAUAAGAACAAAAGCCUGAAAUGAGUUCUAUUUUAUUCUUCUAAGAGACUGCUAUAUAUGCUCAUUGUAAAUGCCUUUCCAAGAGCAAACACCUCAAUUAAUUUGAUAAGAACAAAAAUUAAAUUUGAAAACCCAAGUGAGUCAUGACAAUUGGUGGAUAUGAAUUACCUUUUGGGACAUUGAAUGUAAACCUACAAUUUAAAAGAAAGUGUUCUUCGUUCUUCGUUCUUCGUUCAUCGUUCUUCCAAGAUCAAGCCCCGACGGCCCUUGGAUCAACAAUCAUCCACCAAUUCAAGAUCAAGCCCCUACGGCCCUUGAAGAAAGUGUUCAUCAUUCAUCAUCCGUUCAUCCUAAGAACAAGCCCCAACGGCCCUUUGGAUCAACAACGUCGACAAAUCCACAUAUCCAACCGUCCUUCAAGAUCAAAGCCCAAAAGCCCUUGAAGAUCCGUUCACCACUGUUCUUCAAGAUCAAGCCCAAAAGCCCCUUAAAGAUUCGUUCAUCACCCAAAAAGCCCUUGAAGAUCCGUUCAUCACUGUUCUUCAAGAUCAAGCCCAAAAGCCCUUGAAGAUCCGUUCAUCACCGUUAUUCAAGAUCAAGGCUCAACGGCCCUUGAAGAAACGCUCAUCCUCAUGAUCAAGCCCCAACGGCUCCUUGAAGAUCCGCUCAAAUCCACUUUCAAGAUCAAGCCCACGGCCCUUGAAGAACGUUCAUCCUUAGAUCAAGCCCAACGGCCCUCAAUCGCACAUCCACAAAUCAACACCUUAUGGAGAGCGAAUCAGAGGAUCAAAUUUGAGAGAGAUUGUAACCCAAAAUCAUCAAAUACAAAUAUUAUUUUGUGCAUGUUGUUCUUGUCGCUUUCGUUUCAGGAAAUUUUCGUGUUCACAGAGUUCUAUUUUAUUCUUCUAAGAGACUGCUAUAUAUGCUCAUUGUAAAUGCCUUUCUAAGAGCAAACACCUCAAUUAAUUUGAUAAGAACAAAAAUUAAAUUUGAAAACCCAAGUGAGUCAUGACAAUUGGUGGAUAUGAAUUAUCUUUUGGGACAUUGAAUGUAAACCUACAAUUUAAAAAAAUCGUCAGAUAUAUUUCUAACUUUUUUUUUUCUUUAACCUUUAUCGAACCACAAACUUUCCUAAUUGGCAAAAGUUAUCCAAAUGAAGCCCGCAAUAAAUUCUAUUUUUUUCAAGAAACCUCUGUGCUCUCAUUGUCCAUGCCUUUUAUGCAUGUUUUAUUUGUUUUAUACCUCUGUUUUAUUUGCAUGUUUUAUGACAAUUGGAUUGGGAAACUAUGACGAAUUUUUGGGACAUUGAAUGUAAACAUGUAAUUUAAAAAAACACUAAGCCAGAUAUUAUUGAACAAUUUUUUAUUCAAUUUUACAGCUUCACCAACUUUCCUAAUUGACAAAAGUUUAUACAAAUGUGGGCCCCGCAAUAAACUCUUAUUUUUGCAAGGUCCUUCGUUGCUAUAAAUUUAGACCUACCCCUUCUCUUCCAUACAUCUGUGUUCAAUUUCUCUCCUCUUCCUUGUACUUUUGCUGCUUAUAUUCUCUUCAUGAAGUACUCUCUCCCUUUCCUUCUCUCUCUCUAGAUCUCUUGUCUAAAAUGUCUUUUCUAUGUGAGAAAACUAUAUCAUCAGCAGACAACUCUGUCGAGUUUAGAUUAAGGACUGGGAGAUCAAGUGCACAAAUGGAAGCUAGAGUUGUUGAGGGCUCUAGUUCUAAUGACCAAAGUCAUGAGUUGCAAGUCAAUCUUCACAAAGCAUUGUACAAUUAAAUUCUCCAAGUAAGUCACUGUGACUCUUUCUUCUAGCUAAUUAAAAACCCUGCUUGAGUUUGGUAUGUACAAAUUAUAUAUAUGUAUAAGAUGAGUUUUAGAGGAUCUAUUUUAUACCUUCAAAUGCUAAUAAUUAAACCAGAAUUUGAACAUGCAUGCUAGGUGGCUUGUCCGCUCAUCUGAUCUUUUUAUCGGUACAUAUAGUGACCAUAUAAUUGACUUUGAUAUACUUAUAUAUAGAGAAGUGUAGAAAUGUUCUCAUGACUCUCACAUAACUUUCUUUGCCUUUCAUGUAACAGGAAGGAAAGAAAGCCAGCACUACUUUGGAUGGGAUAAAUAUUGUCGACUCAUUCAUGCUUCUGGAAGAUCUCCCUCUAGAUGGUCUCGACAUUGAGAACGUAAAGCACUUUUCUGUAUAGACAGUGAUCUAUAUCAUGACAGGCAUAUUUUUUCUCCAGCUGAUUGUACUUGUUAACUGCAAGAAUUCUAUGAGUAGUUCUCUUUUUCUGAAAAUAUUGAAACCGGUUUGUAUGAAUGGGUUGUAUGUAUGAGAUGUUAUCCUCACCAUAGCUUGUCAUUCACCUUACAUCAACCACAUCAACCCUUCUCCAUAGCUUGUCAUUCACCAAUCACUUUCCAUAGCUUGUCAUUCACCUUACAUCAACCAUUCUUCAUAGCUUGUCAUUUACCAAUCACUUCCAUAGCUUGUCAUUCACCUUACAUCAACCUUUCUUAGUUACUUGUAAAAGCUUCUUUACUUGUAAUUUGGUUUUUGUUUUUCCACUUGUUAGGGCAGAUUUUAGGGAUUGUGUUUGUGUAGUUAUCCUACAAUCUAUUGUAGCUUUCUUUUGGCUCUCAAUAAGAGUUGCCUUCACUCUCUUGUAAUCUUCAUAAUGAAAUAUACAACAAAUAUUGAAACCAAAACUCAACAUGGUAUCAGAGUAGGAACCAUAGGGUGACUCUGUUCAUUUUUUUUACUUUUUCAUUUUCUCAUCAUCGAUAGAGAUGGUAGAAGAAAAUGUGUCUAGUGCCGACAAUGCAUCAUCCUCUUCCCCAAACUUAACCC
rnacentral:lncRNA from 1 species